rnacentral:lncRNA from 1 species
AUGUUUUUCUGGUACCAGCUGUUGCUUGAAGAUCUACAAUAUCUCUUAGGAAGUGCAUUGGUGCCUGUAACACAGACUUCAAUUCUGAGUUUUUUACAUGAGAAAAAUUGCCAAAUUGAUGAAUCUGUUGUAAAUGAUUUGGCUGCUCUCCUUUGCACCUCCAAUCCAGUUCAAGCUGCCAUAGGGAAAAAUGGACCUCUAUCAACUAGCUUCAAACAAAAAGCUUACUAUACAAAAAAGUUUUGUGUUGUUGAACCAAUAGAAUAUGUUUUAGAUCAGAAAAACAGGAAGUCUUUUCAGUAUGUGCCUGUGUUGAAAUCUCUGCAAAAUUUGUUAGAUUUUGAUGCUGUAUUACAAGAGACUACACAUUUGAAGGAAAGAUAUAAGGGGACAGAGAGUGAUAAGGUUUACAAGUCAGUUUGGGAUGGACUUUUGUCUCAACAAAACAAGAUUCUCUCAGAGGAUUGUGCAAUUUCAUUGAUUCUAUACAUAGACGAAUUUGAGGUCUGUAAUCCUCUUGGAACGUCACGCAAAAAGCAUAAAGUUUGCGCAUUGUAUUGGAUUUUGGGAAACUUGCCUACUGCUUACCACUCUGCACUGUCCUCCAUCCAGUUAGCAGCCUUAAUCAAUAGCAAUGAUGUUAAGGCUUAUGGUUACGCAAAGGUAUUAGAGCCCCUAAUUAAUGAUCUUCUCAUUUUAGAGAACUCUGGGGUUUUUUUGCAGAAGUUGGGGAAAACACUAAAAGGUACACUGUUUUGUGUUGUAGCUGACAAUCUCGGUGCACACAGCAUAGGUGGAUUUGUUGAAAACUUUUCUGGCAGAUAUGCAUGUUGUUUCUGCACUGGUGAAAGACAAGAUUUUCAAACAAAAGACGUGGCAAGUGGAGGCUUCGUUUUAAGAUCUGAAACUGAUCACAAAACACACUUAAAAAUCCUUGAGGACAAUUCCAUAACCUGUUUUGGUGUUAAGAGGAAGUGUGUACUAUCUGAAAAGCUUUCAUCUUUCAAUGUUACAAAAUGUUUUCCACCUGACAUUGUACAUGAUUUGUUUGAGGGCAUUGUCCCUGUUGAAAUAGCUCUGACUUUGAAUGUGCUCAUUGAUAAAAAGUAG